ensembl:rRNA 5S_rRNA 5S ribosomal RNA
GUUUACGACCAUACCAGCCCAAGAACGCCCGGUCUCGUCUGAUCUCGGAAGCUAAGAAGGCUAGGGCCUGGUUAGUAAAUGAAUAGCAGACCUCCUGGGAAUACCAGGUGCUAUAAGCU